rnacentral:rRNA from 1 species
UACGUAGGGGGCAAGCGUUGUCCGGAUUUAUUGGGCGUAAAGAGCGUGUAGGCGGUCAGGUAGGUCCGUUGUGAAAACUCGAGGCUCAACCUCGAGACGCCGAUGGAAACCAUCUGACUAGAGUCCGGAAGAGGAGAGUGGAAUUCCUGGUGUAGCGGUGGAAUGCGUAGAGAUCCGGAAGAACACCAGUGGCGAAGGCGGCCCGCUGGGCAGUGGCUGACGCUGAGGCGCGACAGCGUGGGGAGCAAACAGG